GCAACUCCAGAUCAGACGGUAAUACCCGCUAAUUUUAAGCAUAUCAAUAAGCAGGGGAAAAGAAACUUACAAGGAUUUCCUUAGUAAUGGCGAGCGAACGGGGAACAUCCCUUCCUUAGAAUCGGGCGGAUCCGUCAUCCAAAUUGAAGUCUGAAGAAGUAUCCUCAAUGGUGGAAUGAUCACAAGUCCCUUAAAAGGGGGUACCAGAGUAGGAGAGAUCCCCGUUAUGCUCGGACCCUUUCGCACCUCGAGGUGCUGUGUACGAGUUGGGUUGUUUGGGAAUGCAACCUAAAUCGGGCGGUGAAUUCUGUCAAAGGCUAAAUAUGGGCAAGAAACCGAUAGAUACAAGUGCCGUAAGGGAAAGGUGAAAAGGAGUUUGAAAAAAGAGUCAAAGAGUGCUUGAAAUUGUUGGGAGAAAAGCGGAUGGAGGUUGGCGAUGCACCUCGGUCGGAUGUGGAACCGCGAAAAGAAAGUUUGAUGAUUGACUCAGGGCGUGGAUUUGCGUUGAUUAGGUGAUGGUCAAAGACCGGGCUCUCGAUACACUCGUGGAAUGUUGUCUCCUCGAUUAUGGCAAGCAGCGCACGCCUUUGGUGAGCUUCGACAUCUGCGUGCUUCGGACGCUAGCCUGUGGGCUCUCUAUUGGACCUGACUUAAAACACGGACAAAAGAGUCUGAUAUGUGUGAGAGUCAAUGGGAGAGUAAAACCGUAAGGCGUAAGGAAGUUGAUUCGUGGGAUCCCCCUGAGGGGUGCAUCGCCGAUCGACCUUGAUCUUCUGAGAAGGGUUCGAGUGUGAGCAUACCUGUCGGGACUCGAAAGAUGGUGGACUAUGCCUAAGUUGGUAAAAGCUAGAAGAAAAUAUGAUGGAGACCUACAGUGAUACUAACGUGCAAAAUCAUUCAUCUGACUUGGGUAUAGGGGCGAAAGACCAAUCGAACCAUUUAGUAGCUAGUUCCCUUUGAAGUUUCCCUCAGGAUAGUUGGAUCUCAUGUGCGAGUUCUAUCGGGUAAAGCCAAUGAUUAGAGGCCUUGGGGGAGCAACACCCUUGACUCAUUCUCAAACUUUAAAUAGGUAGGACCGCGCGACUGCUUUGUAUAGCCGUGCUACGGAAUCAAGAGCUCCAAGUGGGCCAUUUUUGGUAAGCAAAACUGGUGAUGCAGGAUGAAUCGGAAGCCGGGUUACGGUGCCAAACUGUGCACUAACCUAGAUCCCACAAAUGGUGUUGGUCGAUUAAGACAGCAGGACGGUGGUCAUGGAAGUUGAAAUCCUCUAAGAAGCGUGUAACGACUCACCUGCCGAAACAACUAGCCCCAUAAAUUGACGACGCUUAAGCGUGCGACCUACCCUCUACUAUCGGGAAAAUUUCUAGGCCUCGAUGAGUAGGACGGCGUGAUGAUCGCUGCAAAACCUUAGGCCCAAGCCCGGGCAGAGCAGUCGUUGGUAUAGAUCUUGGUGGUAGUAGAAAAUAUUCAAGUGAGAACUUUGAAGGCCGAAUAGGGGAAAGGUUCUAUGUGAAUGCCACUUGCACAUAGGUUAGUCGAUCCUAAGGGUUGGGGGAACCCCGAAAGAUAGCAUAUUUCGCACGUACUUCAAAAGAAAAUCAGGUUAAAAUUCCUGAGCUGGGAUGUGGUAGUCGACUACAACAUUAGAAAGUCUAAAGACGUUAACGGGAGCCUCGGAAAGAGUUAUCUUUUCUGCUUAACAGCCUGUCCACCCUGGAAUUGGCUCAGUCGAAGGUAGAGUCCAGCGACUGGAAGAGUACUACACGUCGUGUGGUGUUCUAUGCGCUUCUGAAGCCCUUUGAAAAUCCAGAGAACUGAAUGUCAUCCACGCCCGGUCGUACUCAUAACCGUAUUAGGUCUCUAAGGUGAACAACCUAUGGUUUAUGGAACAAUGUAGGCAAGGAAAGUCUGCAAAAUAGAUCUAUAACUUCAGGAAAAGGAUUGGCUCUGAGGGCUAGGCACGGGGUCUUAGUCCCAAACCCAUCAGUUGUCGGUGGACUGCUUGAGCUGCCCCCGCAGUAUGAGUGGGUCACCGUAUGCCCGCUGGGGGAUGGACUGGGAAUGGUUCCUUCGGGGGCCUUCCCCGUGCAUUGAAUAGCCAACUCAGAACUGGUAUGGGCAAGGAGAAUCUGACUUUUUAAUUAAAACAAAGCAUUGUUAUGGUCCUAAUAUAUGUUCACGCAAUGUGAUUUUUUUCCAGUGCUCUAACUAACAAAGUAAAGAAAUUCAACCAAGCGCGGGUAAACAGAUGUAGUAACUAUGACUCUCUUAAGGUAGCCAAAUGCCUCGUCAUCUAAUUAGUGACACACAUGAAUGAAUUAAUGAGAUUCCCACUGUACCUAUUUACUAUCCAGUAUAACCGUAACCACAGGAACGGGCUUGGCAGAAUCAGCGGGGAAAGAAGACCCUAUUUAACUUGACUCUAGUCUGACUUUGUGAAAUGUCUUGAGAGGUGUAGUAUAAGUGCGAGCUGAAAUGAAAAAGUGAAAUACCACUAUUUUUAACAUUAUUUUACUUAUUCUGUGAAUGGAAGCGGGGCAUUGCCUCUCUUUUUGGACCUAAGGUUCGCUCAGUAGGCCUACCCAGGUAGAAGACAUUGUCAGGUGGGGAGUUUGGCUGGGGUGGCACAUUUGUUAAAAGAUAAUGUAUAUGUCCUAAAACGAGCUCAACAAGAAUAGAAAUCUUAUGUGGAACAGAAGGGUAUAAACUCAUUUGAUUCUGAUUUCCAGUAUGAAUACGAACCAUGAAAGCAUGGCCUAAAAAUCCUUUAAACCUUUAAAAUACGAAGCUAGAGGUGUCAAAAAAGUUACGAAAGGGAUAACUAGCUUAUGGUAGCCAAGUGUUCAUAGCGAUGUUGCUUUUUAAUCCUUCGAUGUCGACUCUUCCUAUCAUUGUGAAGCAGAAUUCACCAAGCAUUGGAUUGUUCACUCACCAAUAGGGAACGUGAGCAGGAUUUAGACCCUCGUGAGAUAGUUUAGUUUUGCCCUAUUGAUGAUAGUGUCUCAAUAGUAAUUCAACCUAGUACAAGAGUAUCAAUUAAUUCACAUAAUUGGUCCUCACGUUUGGUUUAAAAGCCAUUGGCACAAAGCUACCGCAUGCUGGAUUAUGAUUGAAUGCCUCUAAUUUAGAAUCAGGUCUAGAAGCGACACAUGUGCCUGUCGUUCGCUUGUUGACCUACAGUAGGGGCCUUGGCCCCCGAGGGCACGUUUUGUUAGCUAAGCAAUCACGGCGAAACAAUCGCGAUAGCCGCUCUAUAGUAAAAUUUUCAUUGAUUGGC
rnacentral:rRNA from 1 species